ACAAUGACCUUGCAGGGGAGUGUCGCUGAUCACCGAGGCCCAUCACCCAGGAUGAGGCUAUCCCAAUGCACUUGUGGGUGCCGACACCUGCGAGGUCCCCAAACGUAGGAAACUCAUCUGUAAAAUUUGUAGUGGUGGAUUGUAUUCUUGCUAAUAUUUA